UGGAGGACGACUGCUCUAACCACUGAGCCAAAGUGAUCAGAAUGAAAUCAAGAGAGUGGUCUGUUGGGUGGUGCUGUCAGUGGUGCAGCUGGGAUCAAUACUCCUGAUGAGGCUGCACGGCAGAAAAAAGUCAGCUUGGCCCACCCCUCAGCCUGUCAGUCCACUCUCAUCUCAUCUAACCUUCUCUGGACGGUAGAUAGUACUGCUUUGUGACAGAACUUUAAACAAAGUGAGAUGAUCCCGUCUGCACAGACACCAGCGCCAGUCAUCGGGCUGUUCAACAUGAAGGCAAACAAAGGUUUGAUA